CAUCUCAUUCUUUUAUUGCUCCGAGAGCCGUGGAGAGGUUGGGUCUAAUGAUCUCUGGGUUAGAGUGUCCUCUCUGGGUCAGUGGACCCAAGUGUGAUCCAUCAGUGGCAGAGUCAGUCUGCCAGUGUAGUCCUGUGUUUGUUGAGGGAAGAUGCUUAUCCGCCGACCUAGUGGUUCUAGAUUUGACAGAUUUUGACGUCAUUCUAGGGAUGGACUGGUUAUCUACCCAUGGUGCUACCUUGGACUGCAGGGACAAGGUAGUCAGGUU
rnacentral:lncRNA from 1 species